AGUGAACGCUGGCGGUAGGCCUAACACAUGCAAGUCGAACGGCAGCUCAGUAAGAGCUUGCUCUUACGGGUGGCGAGUGGCGGACGGGUGAGGAAUACAUCGGAAUCUACUUUUUCGUGGGGGAUAACGUAGGGAAACUUACGCUAAUACCGCAUACGACCUACGGGUGAAAGCAGCGGAUCUUCGGACCUUGCGCGAUUGAAUGAGCCGAGGUCGGAUUAGCUAGUUGGCGGGGUACAGGCCCACCAAGGCGACGAUCCGUAGCUGGGCUGAGAGGAUGAUUCGCUAGACGGGAUGUGAGAAAGGGUAGCGACUCCUGCGCGAAGCCGCAGUGGAGAAUACUAGACAAGGGGCGAAAGCGGGAUACAGCCCUACGGCGUGAGUGAAGAAGGCGUUCGGGUUGGAAAGUCAUUAUGUUGGGAGAGAAAAGCAGCAGUUUUAUACCCCGCGGUACUGACGGUACCGGAAGAAUAAGCACCGGCUAACUUCGUG
rnacentral:rRNA from 1 species